GUGAAUCUGAAGAUAAAAAUUGAAGUAUUUGGUAUUAAGUCCCUGAGUAAAUCUGGCAACCCUGCCCCUGGCCUCAGUGUGGUUGCUAUGCCUGGCAACGCAAGAACUGGCCUGGCGCAGCAGGGGCGGGGCUUGGCUAAACUUGACCUUCCCUCCCUUGCAGAACUUGGAGCAAGCACUUAGCCUCUCACACACACACACACUUAAACAUCAAUCAGCACCUGGAUCAAGUUCCAAUGACUUUUCUCCCACUAGAAUUCCCUUCCUCACCCGCCUAUUCUUCAUCCCAUCCCCACUUCCAAGCUCCCCCUUGUCCUAUAUUGUCUUUCCUUUUACUUUCCAAGGGCCAGAGACUGACCAGAGGGUUUGUCAACAGCUUUCAAAGAUGUGGGGCAAUUAGGUGUGUAGGAGAGAGUACUUGCUUUGCUUGGACCAAACUGUCUGACUGAUGAUCACAAAGUGAGGGCAGGAGUGCUUUCUCUUCUCCAUCCAGUUCCAGGGGCCUAGAGUGGUGUGCACUAACCAUUCUAUGACACUGACCACACCUACCUUCAAACACUCAACUGCACAUCCAUCCAUACCUUGUGCUUUUCCACUUUUCAUCUCCCUUACUGCUGCUCACAUGUCCACCUUCAUUAUACAUGUCUCAUUUGACUUCCUUAGUACAUUAAUAUCUCUCUCAAAUAACCGAAUCUCAGGGUCUCUUUCCUGCUUCAUACUCACCAGUUUCUUAAAAAACCCUUCAUCCCAUCUGUUUUCACCUGUUCCUCACUACCAAAUGGUGCUUUUCUUAUUUUCUUUGUUUUUUUCCAAAAUAUUUUCUUAUUCUCUUGAACAUUCUUUGAUAACUCUCCCCCAUCUUUCAUCUCUCCUUUAGCAUCACACACAACUCUUUUUGCUUGUAUUCAGCUUUCCUUGCAUCUCCCAUAUGACUUUCAUUCCUUCCAUUCAAUCCUAAAUUUUAUUCUCUACAGCCACCUUAGCCUGUCCACACCCACACCAGCCUUAACAAUACAAAAGUGUAUAAUACACAUCAAUAUCUAUGUGUGUCACAGUCAGUAAGAAGAAAUAAAACAAUGCAAAAAAUCAA